GGCUAGCAAGAGUUCAGUUGAUAGAGCACAAGAUUUUUAAUCUCAGGGUUGUAGGUUCGAGCCCUGCAUUGGGCA